rnacentral:rRNA from 1 species
UGCAGUCGUACGGUGACUAAGAGGUAGCAAUAUUUCCUGGUCAUAGUGGCGAAAGGGUGAGUGACACGUGGGUAAACUGCCGUGAAGUUCGGAAUAACUUGCCGAAAGGUAGGCUAAUACCGGAUAUGAUCUUCCGACGGCAUCGCUGGAAGAUCAAAGCUGGGGAUCGAAAGACCUAGCGCUUCAUGAUGUGCCCGCGGCCUAUCAGCUUGUUGGUGGGGUAAUGGCCCACCAAGGCUAAGACGGGUAGCCGGUCUGAGAGGAUGGUCGGCCACACUGGAACUGAGACACGGUCCAGACACCUACGGGUGGCAGCAGUCGAGAAUCUUUCACAAUGGGCGAAAGCCUGAUGGAGCGACGCCGCGUGGGGGACGAAGGGCUUCGGCUUGUAAACCCCUGUCAUCUGUGAGUAAACCUUUUCGGAUAAUACCCGGAAAGCUGAUAGUAGCAGAAGAGGAAGGGACGGCUAACUCCGUGCCAGCAGCCGCGGUAACGCGGAGGUCCCAAGCGUUGUUCGGAUUCACUGGGCGUAAAGGGUGCGUAGGUGGUUGGGAAAGUUUGGUGUGAAAGCUUCGAGCUCAACUCGAAAAUUGCAUCGAAUACUACUCAACUAGAGGGUCGGAAGGGAGACUGGAAUUCUUGGUGUAGCAGUGAAAUGCGUAGAUAUCAAGAGGAACACCAGUGGCGAAGGCGAGUCUCUGGACGACACCUGACACUGAGGCACGAAAGCUGGGGGAGCAAACAGGAUUAGAUACCCUGGUAGUCCCAGCCGCAAACGGUGCACACUUGCUGUAGGCGGUUUCGACCCCGUCUGUGGCGUAGCUAACGCGUUUAGUGUGCCGCCUGGGGAGUACGGUCGCAAGAUUAAAACUCAAAGAAAUUGACGGGGGCCUGCA